GACAAAAUGGUCCGGUCGGUCUCUUGUAACGUUGGUAAGAUAGCUCACAUAUCCACUCUUGCUAUGUGCGCUUAUGUAUACAAAAGUAAAAACUGUAUUUUAAUAUUUAACCAAAAAAAAUCUGUAGGUAAGUCUAUUAACGUCGGGGAGCAAAUUUUUGCGCUGACCCGCAACAUAACUUACCGGGCAGCGUUCGGGUCAGCUUGCGAAAAUGGACAAGACGAGUUCAUAAGAAUCUUACAAGAGUUCUCUAAGCUGUUUGGAGCCUUCAACGUAGCGGAUUUCAUACCGUACUUCGGGUGGAUUGAUCCGCAAGGGAUAAACAAGAGGCUGGUGAAAGCCCGUAACGACCUAGACGGAUUUAUUGACGAUAUUAUCGAUGAACAUAUGAAGAAGAAAGAGAAUCAAAACACUGUGGAUGAUGGAGAUGUUGUUGAUACCGAUAUGGUUGAUGAUCUUCUUGCAUUUUACAGCGAAGAGGCCAAAUUAGUGAGCGAGGCAACGGAUCUUCAGAAUUCCAUCAAACUUACACGCGACA
rnacentral:lncRNA from 1 species